UGAAUACGAGACGCUACGGCGUCGAAGCAGUCUAUGUCAUACUUCCAAGAAAAGCUCGCAAUGUCAUAAACAAAUAAUGCCUGUACCAUAACCGACACAGGUGGGUAGGUAGAGUAUACUAAGGGGCGCGAGAUAACUCUCUCUAAGGAACUCGGCAAAAUGACUCCGUAACUUCGGGAGAAGGAGUGCCUUAUUUAUAAGGUUGCAAUAACAAGAUCCAAGCAACUGUUUAUCAAAAACACAGGUCUCCGCUAAGUCGUAAGACGAUGUAUGGGGGCUGACGCCUGCCCAGUGCCAGAAGGUUAAAGAAGUUGGUUAGCAUUCGCGAAGCUGAUAACUGAAGCCCUGGUGAACGGCGGCCGUAACAAUAACGGUCCAAAGGUAGCGAAAUUCCUUGUCGGGUAAGUUCCGACCCGCACGAAAGGCGUAAUGAUUUGGAUACUGUCUCGGAGAGGGGCUCGGUGAAAUAGACUUGUCUGUGAAGAUGCGGACUACCUGCACCUGGACAGAAAGACCCUAUGAAGCUUUACUGUAACUUGAAAUUGAAAUUGGACUUUAUUUGCGCAGCAUAGGUGGGAGGCGUUGAGAGUAUUCUUGCGGGAAUAUUGGAGCCAUCAGUGAGAUACCACUCUUGUAAUGUUAGAUUUCUAACUUUGGAUCAUUAUCUGGUCAAAGAACAGUUUCAGGCGGGCAGUUUGACUGGGGCGGUCGCCUCCCAAAUGGUAACGGAGGCGUACAAAGGUUUCCUCUGAACGGGUAGAAAUCGUAUCUAGAGUGUAAAGGCAUAAGGAAGCUUGACUGUGAGACCUACAAGUCGAGCAGGGACGAAAGUCGGUCUUAGUGAUCUGACGGUGCUGAGUGGAAAGGCCGUCACUCAACGGAUAAAAGUUACUCUAGGAUAACAGGCUGAUCUCCCCCAAGAGUUCACAUCGACGGGGAGGUUUGGCACCUCGAUGUCGGCUCAUCGCAUCCUGGGGCGGUAGUACGUCCCAAGGGUUGGGCUGUUCGCCCAUGAAAGCGGUACGCGAGCUGGGUUCAGAACGUCGUGAGACAGUUCGGUCCAUAUCCGGUGUAGGCGUUAGAAUAUUGAGAGGAGCCUUCUUUAGUACGAGAGGACCGAGAAGGACAUACCUCUGGUGUACCAGUUAUCGUGCCAACGGUAAACGCUGGGUAGCUAUGUAUGGAGAGGAUAACCGCUGAAAGCAUCUAAGUGGGAAGCCCACCUCAAGAUAAGUAUUCUCAU
rnacentral:rRNA from 1 species